GGGUGAGUAAUGCGUAGGAAUCUGUCUUUUAGUGGGGGACAACCCAGGGAAACUUGGGCUAAUACCGCAUGAGCCCUGAGGGGGAAAGCGGGGGAUCUUCGGACNNNNCGCUAAGAGAAGAGCCUACGUCUGAUUAGCUAGCUGGUAGGGUAAAGGCCUACCAAGGCGACAAUCAGUAGCUGGUCUGAGAGGACGACCAGCCACACUGGGACCGAGACACGGCCCAGACUCCUACGGGAGGCAGCAGUGGGGAAUUUUUCGCAAUGGGGGCAACCCUGACGAAGCAAUGCCGCGUGGAUGAAGAAGGCCUUCGGGUUGUAAAGUCCUUUCGUGGGGGACGAAAAGGUGGAUCCUAAUACGAGCU
rnacentral:rRNA from 1 species